AGAAGGAACGAACCCUGCUCACACCUGGAUCCCAGACUUCUAGCUUCCAGGACGGAGAAAAUAAAUGUUGUUGAAGCCGCCUACCCUAUGGUACUUUAUUAUGGAAGCCCUAGCACACUAAUACAUUAAGUCUGUUUCUGGAUGCUGGCAGUCAUUCAGAAACAUUUGCUGAGCACCUCGUACCUGCUGAAUGAACCCACGUGAAGGGGAGCCAGGAGUGCGGAUCAUUAAAAAGCCUGUACUUUCUCAGUCCCCAUUUGACACCACAGAGAGAAAAUGCAUGCUCCUGAUUUGGGUAGAUCUAGAAUGUUCUUAUGAAUAUGGUAGGUGGAGCAAGGGAUCCAGGUUCUUAUGAUACAUGAUAAGAAAGGCCCUAGCUUGGUCAGACACAAAUAAAAGCCAAGCUUUUCAUCUAAACUCCCUUGCACCAUCACCCCCUUACCAACCAGUACAGAGAGCUUAACAUCUCUAUACCAGAUAGUGAAUGUUUCUAAUAAGAAUGGCAAAUUCUUAUUGUGAGAGAGAUAAGGGCAUUCAAGUGUUAAUUCAAGAGAAAUAUGUAUAUGGUUCUUUAAAUGAUUUAUUUACUAACAGCAUUAAGUAUGGUGUAAAGGAAUUUACAUACCCUAAUUCUCGUCUAUAUAUUUUUUUGGAUUUUAAAAUGACAACUUGUCUAAGUUCGCAUUAGUAUUAAGCCCUAACAUGAGACAGUAUUUAUAGCAUAAGAUUUUUGCCACCUAUUUUUAAUUGUAGCGCUGUUUUAUCAAUAAGAUCAAUUAAAGAGUUGAACAUUUGAAAAGAAGAAACAUGAAAAUGAAUUUCUAACUGUACGGUAUUGAAUACAUGAAAGUUCUCUUAAACUUAGUCCAGAGUCUCAAUAAACAUGGUAAGUAUGUAAUAAUUCACAUUUACAACCGCCAUAAAAACUCUAUCAACCAAAUUAUUUUAUGACGUCAAAAUUAUCUGAAAAAAAUUGAGGAACUAAAAUUUUUAAAAAUAGGUUCUCAGUUAGAGCUGUCUAUUAAAAGGAUAAAUUUUAAACUCUCCGGAGCUGGCCUUCCUGGUUCCAGGAGCAGCCUGUUGGCCUUCUCUCGCAAAGCUCAGUUCCUUUCCUCCAUUCCAGAAGACCCUCAAGCCUGUCCCAUGCACCUGGUUUUACAUUUUUAAAUGUUAAAAGGAAGACCACCGUGAAAGAUUGGCAUGUUAAUAGUAGGCUAAGGCGACAGGUGCUGGGGCUCCGGCUUAGAGAUCCCCACAGAUUCCAUGCUCCCAGGGCUGGCUGCAGCCAUCUGCCCCCACCCACCCCCACCCGGCCCAGCCCUCCCCUCCUGGAGGUGGAAUCGUGGCUUGCACAAUCCCCUCUGGGCCCCUGGGGGAGGCGCACCAUAUUGAUUUUUUGGACUUCGUUUCUGUGUGUCUCACCAGUCUUUGCCCGGCACAGUGACUCACUGGCGUCCCUUUCAGGACUUUCUCCCGCCUGAUAACAUCUAAAUGACUCAUGCCUACACCACCUGGAGAGCUCAGGGAAGGCACGGUUUGUUCAGGCCACCCUCACUCCAAGGGCCAGCCCUUUUUUGGAAUAGAAACUAAAAGUUGGUAGCUUCCAUUUGUAGUUCCAUCUAACAGAAGAGCCGACCCACUCACAUUAGCUGGCUCACGACUAAGGCAACCAAUGCCUCCCAGAACAUAGACUCAACUGGCAACCCCGGCACUGAAGGUCAAGGCUUCCUGACACGUGAUGCUACAAUGGAUGGAAUCCAGAGGUGGAUAGGAGAAGCCAGCUGCCUUCUAUUAAACCAGAAAUGAAGAACAUUUGCAGAAAUGUACAACAAUGCCAUGCUUCCCAUUAAUUAUUUUGUUCUUGCUUUAGAAUAUGUCACUUUUCAUUGAAAAAUGUUACUCAUGAUUUUAUGUAAAAGGUUUAUUGUUGUUACUUUUAAAUACAUAUUUUAAGUGUUUUUUAGUUUUGAUUUCUAAUAUGGCAAAAAUUGGUAAAAUCACAUACACAAGGGCUUUUGGGGAUCCUCAAAACUUUUUAAGAGUGUAAAGGGAUCCAGAGACCAAAAGUUUGAUAACCACUAACCAAAAACUUUGACAACCAUCAUCUUGAAGGGUCCUUGGACUUUCUGGAAUUUGGAUCUCCCUUGCCUUGUUCAGUUUUCUCUCUUUUUAGCCAUCUCGUACUUACUGCCAUUUCAGUUCCUAUGUACCUGACUUAUUAAUUAUGCUUAUUGUUUACCAUGUGUGUUCCCCUCCCAUAUAAACUCCAUGAGGACUGAGAUAUUUGUCCAUGAUGUUCAUCAGUGCAUCCCAGGCUGCCUAGAACUGGGCCUGGCCCUUAGCAGGCACUUGUUUUUGGAUGGGAGGGAGGAGAAGGGAGGGGAGAGGGCAAGUUCUUUCAGUGUCUGUAUAAUGGACAGAGCAAGGUGUACCACCUCGGUGUGAUAGAAGAGAUGGAGACAGGAGAAAGGAAGCUCUGCACAGGAUCACGUGGUAGGUGGCAAAGUCAGGGCUCCAUCACAGCUUCUGUUGUCACAUGACUCUGUUAUCUGACCCUUUAAGGCAGCCCCUUCUGCUCCAACAGAGCUUCAGGGUAACUGAGUGCCCCGCAAUUGGUGUUAGC
rnacentral:lncRNA from 1 species